UACGGAGGGGACUAGCGUUGUUCGGAAUUACUGGGCGUAAAGCGCACGUAGGCGGAUUUGUAAGUCAGGGGUGAAAUCCCGGGGCUCAACCUCGGAACUGCCUUUGAUACUGCAAAUCUCGAGUCCGGAAGAGGUGAGUGGAAUUCCCAGUGUAGAGGUGAAAUUCGUAGAUAUUAGGAAGAACACCAGUGGCGAAGGCGGCUCACUGGUCCGGUACUGACGCUGAGGUGCGAAAGCGUGGGGAGCAAACAGG
rnacentral:rRNA from 1 species